GCCCCCUACCGCGCCCCGCCCUGGGCCUGUUGGUGGGCUCUAGAGGCGGUUGUGCGUUUGGCCGCCCUCGCCUGGUUUUCCUGCCAGACACCCUCAAGGUCUCCAGGCCGCAGCUGUGUAGCGCGCUGUGCACACCCUCCGCCAUCAGAGCUACACCCCCUCCUGAGAGCAAACUGACUGCUUGUAACUCCCCCCCCCCAUCCUUAUUCCUUCCCAACCAUCGCACUCCCUGGGCAUCUCGAACAUCCUUCCAAUCCUGUGAGACCUUGGGAGAGUUGGGCAGGAUGUGACCCAUGCAUGCAUGCCCAGGGCACCCAAACCUGGGCCACAGAGCCGACCUCUUCCCAUUGCUGAGAAGCAAAACAAGGCCAGGUCCGGAACCGGAGCUGGAGGGAUAGAAUUGCUGUCUGAUGUCAGACAGCCUAUUGGCAUCCUAGCCCUAAGUCCGUGCCAAAGUUUAAGUGGUUUUGGACGAAUUAUCACACCUCUCAAGGCCCCGAUGUCCUCAUCUGCAAAACAAACCCGAAGAUCUAUCUGAGAAGCUAGGAAGAAAUUUAGAAAUAAAGAGCCCCCCGGUCAGCCUCCGGAACAUCUAAAAUGGGAAAAAUCUGACAAUGCCAAAUGCUGGCAAGAAAGGGAGCAACUGGAAGGCUUGUACACUACUCUUGUGGAGAUGCAAAACACACUGCCAUGUGGAUAUCUGCUUUCUUAUUUGUUUCGGGUUUGUUUGAUUGGUUCUGAGGCAGAGCCCCACUAUGUAGUACUGGCUGGCCUUGAAUUCACUACCUAGACCAGGCUGGCCUCAAACUCACAGAGAUCUCCCUGCCUCUGCCUUCUGAGUGCUGCCACACCAUGCACAACCUGGAAAUCUGCUUUAAAGGAUCCAGUGCCCAGUACUUUCACACCCAAGAGGCUUCCCUAACUUCUGUCUUCUGUUCUUAGCAGUGAUGUUCGGAGUAGCCUUAGGACAAGACUGUGCUGAUAUAAUCUGUAGGUCAUUAAAGGGUUAUAUAAAUGGUGGCAUACUCACUAUUGGAUUGACACUGGAUAAUUUACAACCACAUACAAAGAAUAUGGGUGACUCUUACAAAAGGACUUUGAGCAAAAGAAGUCAGAUAAGAGCUGGGCACUGAUCAGUGUGGAAACUCGGGAUUCUCAGAAGUUCAAAGCCAGCUUGGGCAAUUUAGAACUGCUGGGGGUUGAGGGCCGGAAGGCCCCAAGGGAAAACCGAUGGAGGCUGUUGAGAGGUACGGAUGCCUGCUUGCAUCUAGGGCACACUCCCGAGGGCCUGCCCCAUCUGUCCUUCCACAGACCCUCCUCUGACUCUUCAGGACAACCGCCCUGAUACCCUUUGACCUCUCCUGGGGGAGGCUCCUUGCCUCUCUGCAGCGCGAGGGAAGCGUCAGAUUGAUAAGCGAUGACCUCGGAUUUGUGGGUUCCCGGGAGGAGAGGGAGGUGAAGCACACUGAAGCCCUGCGUAAAUUAGGAUGGCUCAGAUUGUACAAUGAUUAAAAUUCAAUAAAGAACUGGGUGUGGAGG
rnacentral:lncRNA from 1 species